ensembl:lncRNA
AAAGAAGUCAGGCUGUAAUGAACAUAUGGUCAUCAUAUUUUGUGCCAGCGGCUGGUGAACAGGGCUGCAGAUUGAUGAUUAGACUGGGCAGAAUGGACACAUGGACUGGUACCAAUUUAAGGUCAUGUAAAAGUCUGCUGUCUGUUAGUGGAGGGCGAUUUUAAACAAAGCUGGAUUACUACAGCAGAAAAAAGUAUUCUCAACCUCCUUCACAGUCAUGAACAAGUCCAAUCACACAAACCACGAUAUCAGCCACUGAAGAUCAAACUGCUGUCUCUCAAUCCAAUUCAUCUCAUUCUCAACCAGUGACGUGGUGUCAGUGGAGGCAACCCUCACCCGAUGUUCCGCUCCCCUAUCCUUCUCACCUAAUCUCAACUCUACACCUCUCUUCUGCGCAGCAGCAGCUUGUUUUCAUUCUCUGCCCCCUUCAGAACAGCGUCCCCGCUCUCAACCUUUCCUACUCAUUGUGCGCUGAUCCUGCAAAAAUAGCAAAGGCCUUCUUUCGGUUUUAAUUAUUCAUGUGUGAUUACAGGCUGCGGCUCCUCUCCACUGCAAGGGCUGUGGGUCUUGUCUUUAGUUAUUUAUCGGCUGCGACUGUCAGUGUGGCCAAACCCUCAAUAAGAGAAUGGGAUGUUAUGAGAAUCACAGACACGUACGCACACACACACACACACACACACACACACACACACACACACACACACACACACACAGAAUAUUCUUUUUUUACUGAAAUUAUUUCAAUAUUUGAAUUUGUAUGCAUGAAUUCCUAUUUAAAUAUGUAGAUAUAAAGAAAACAUAAUGCAAAUGUAUAUCAGCAAACACGCCAGAAGCCUUCAUUAGGCAGAUAAGAUCAUAAGAUUGCUUAGGAACUAUUCAGGCAUCGGCAUCUCAUUUGUUGAUCAGAAAAUCAU